AAGGAGGGUGCGGGGCACCUGGAGGGAGCAGCGCGGGGCCCGAGCUCCCACGCCUGAAGUCCCGAGGGAUCGGGGACCGAGGGCGCAAUCCUCACCGUUCCACGUUUCCUCUUCCUCAAGUGCCGUUCAGGACCCUGGGCUGAGACUAAGAAUGCAGAAAUGAACAGGCUCGUGUGGUUCCUGGGCUCCAGCAGUAGAGGAACUCUUGUGGUGGGCAGGGUGACAACGAAUUCUUCUGUGGGGGAAAUGAAGCAUUCACAUGGGGAAGAUGAAUCCUUAAUCACAGCAGAAUGAUGAUCUGUGACUCCCUC